GACGUACUGCGCGAACGUUAUUCGGAAUCACUGGGCUUAAAGGGUGCGCAGGCGGCUUGUCAAGCCCGUGGUGAAAGGUCCCGGCCUAACCGGGGACGUGCUUCGGGGACUGACGAGCUUGGGCGAGCUAGGGGUCUGUGGAACGUCCCGGUGGAGCGGUGAAAUGCGUAGAUAUCAUUUGGAACGCCAAUGGUGAAAACAGCUCGCUGGGGGUUUGCUGACGCUGAGACGACGAAAGCCAGGGGAGCGGAACGGG
rnacentral:rRNA from 1 species